GACAGAGGUGCCGAGCGUUAGGCGGAAUCACUGGGCUUAAAGCGUGUGUAGGCGGGUCGGUAAGUGCCUUGUGAAAUCCCACAGCUCACCUGUGGAACUGCUUGGCAUACUGGCGAUCUUGAGCCACUUAGGGGCAACCGGAACAAACGGUGGAGCGGUGAAAUGCGUAGAUAUCGUUUGGAACGCCAAUGGUGAAAACAGCUCGCUGGGGGUUUGCAGACGCUGAGACACGAAAGCCAGGGGAGCGAACGGG
rnacentral:rRNA from 1 species